AAUAUCCUUUUUCGAAUGGGUAUGGCUUCAACCAUUCCUGGUAGCCGCCAACUAGUCAACCACAGACAUAUUUUAGUUAAUGGACGUAUAGUCAAUAUACCAAGUUUUCGUUGCAAACCCCGAGAUAUUAUUACUAUGAAAGAUAACCAAAGAUCAAAAGGUCUGGUUCAGAACUAUAUUGCUUCAUCGGACCCGGGAAAAUUGCCAAAGCAUUGGACGAUUGACACAUUUGAAUAUAAAUGACUAGUAAAUAAAAUCCUAGAUAGGAAGUGGGUCGGUUUCAAAAUAAAUGAUUUGUUAGUUGUACAAUAUUACUCUCGUCAGGCUUGA
rnacentral:rRNA from 1 species